UAGAGGUCCCUUCCAACUCCUGCAAUUCUGUGUUUCUGUAAUCUUAAUCUUAUUAGGCAGCUUCUGAAUGCCAUGAGAAAGCUCUCCUUAAAGCUAUUGUUAACCCUAGCAAGCUUAAGCUAGGAGUUUGGAGCUCUUUUCUUGUAAAGGCAGCAAGUAGCCUUGGUACAAGAACUACUUUAGGUUUGCUCUAAUGCAUGUUCUUUAGUUUGAGUAUAUCUACAUUUUUGAAAGGUUUUAUAGAAACCUUUUGAAGAUGUAAUAAAAAAAGAUAUGACAUGCCAUUGAAAAAGUUGAAAUUGUACAUCUUUGUUUAAGGAAAAAAAACUUCCUUUCUGUUCUUGGCUUGGACCCAUCUUGUUCUAAAGUACUGCAGCCUCAAAGGGGUCAACAAUAAAUUUUGCUGAAUGGAAUUAGUCCAUUAGAUGCGAUCUACGUUAAAAGAUGACAGUUCACGCUUUCACUGCUUUGGCAAACAUAGCUUUGUGCUGCUUUGCCCAGAACUGUCUUAGUAAACAGCCUGUGUAAAUGAUUUCCUAAAGAUCUUCUGUCACUUGACUACUUACCUGGGCUGCUUUUACCCUGUGCUUGCAACUUGGCAGUGAAGAGGCAGUGUUUUUGUGGUCUCAUUUACUUUUAAAAUGAAAGCAAGUAAUGCAGGUUUUGGAGUUCUUCCAAACACUUCUUUGUCUGCAGAGCUGGAUGUCUGGAGUGGGAGGACCUUUGGAUUAAACCAUUAGGAAUUCAGUUGGGAGCAGAGAUUUUUUUUGAAGGUUUUGGAAGAAAAAAAAGUUCCAUUUCAACUUUGUUUUCCAUUUUCAUCUGCAUCCCACAUGUAACUGCACUUUUUUGUUAUUGCAUUAGCCUCUCCUAUGUAGGUCAGUGAUCCCUUUCCAUUUUCUGUGUUGAAUGGAACUGCUGGUAUCUUUAACUCAAAGAUUAGCUCUGUUUGGAAAGAAGCUCUAUUUUGAAAGAAGCUCUGUUUGGUUACAGGGUAUGCCUCCCUGCUGAAGAUCCUUAUGGAAGUCUUCCUGGUCUUGAAGAGCAAAGCUUACUAGAUAUCUCAUACCUAGUAAGGCCUAUAUCGGAAAGGGCACCGGCUCAGCAUGGUGCAAACUGUCCUCGGAUGGUAUGAAAAGUGAUUGUGGUUUAAGCUUGACCUGGUGGUUGGUCUUUGUGAUAGCAGGCCCACUGUGCUUUGGAGGUCUCUUGCUUCUUUUCUCCCACCCUAAAUAUCUUCCAGAGCUUCUGAAACGAAUGCUGAAGAUUAUUCAAGGUAGUUGUAAACGGUUGACACAUAAGCCUUCUGCCUAAGGCACUGUUACUAUUAGGACAGUGGUAAUAGUGUUGUCAUUAAGUCUAUUCCAGCAACCUGGUCAAUGUGCAAUAGAACCUAAUUGGAGAAAGUAGGGGAAAACUGGAAAAAGGUAGUGGGCGGUUGGUUUAUUCUGCCUAUGUCCUUCCCUGCUGGAGCUGGCUGAGCUGUCAUCCAAGUGGCAUGUUGCUGUUUCCUUCCAUACUCAGGAGGAACUAUCUGGGCUGGCUGGCUGGCUUGGCCCUUCCAUUUCCAUAGCCACAAACAAUUCAAAGCAUCUGCUGUAGAGCCUGUCUUUCUGGACUGGCAGAAGCAAUGCUGAAGCCUUUCUAUGGUGUUGGUAUUACCAAAUAUAAUUUAGUUGUUCUUUUGAAAGUAUUUAUUAAUAUAAUAGUAAAAAGAAAGGGCUCGGGAUUUUACUGUGGGUUUAGCCUUGUGAAGACUAGAGCUUGAAAGAUACUGUGCAGCUCUAUAACGAAGCUUUCUUUUUUGGAUAUGUUUUCAUUUACUCAUUCUUGGAACUUUAUUGUGAUUUAGUAAAUGAGUGACUAGCUUUUUCAGCCUACUUAUGAAAGUUAAAAUAGAAGCUUAAGUUUAUUUAUUACAACUCAAAUGUUUGUGUCAGAAGCAGUGGAAACCUAAAGGAAAUGGUUAUUCUACUAAGUCGUUUCAAGGUGCAUAAAUGUCAAGCUCAUCCAAGCUGAGAUUGAUGUAAAAGUGUGCGAUGAGAAUCCUGAGAUAAGAGGACUUGUAGAUCACUGACUGCACAGAGAACAGGGCUUGACCUCUGAUUCACAAGCUGUUGUCAUGGACCAUUUUUCCAAACAUCUCAGCAUCAUCUGGACAGCACAGAAGAUAUCUCACCUCCUUUGCCGCUCAGUAGACCAGGGAGCCACUGGGCCUAUUUGGCUGAGCCCUGCUCUUGGAGAAAGAGGCAACUUCCAUUUUGCUGCUUUUGGGUCUGAUUUUUGAGUCCCAACUGGAAAAUCACAACUGUGGAAUCAUUCAGGUUGGAAAAGUCCUCUAAGAUUCCCCAAGUCCAACCCCAGCCCACCCUCACCAUGCCCACAGACCACAUCCCUCAGUGCCUCUCCAUGGUUCUGGAACAUCUCAAGCGACAACGACCCCACCACCUCCCUGGGCAGCCUGUUCCAAUGCAUCACCACUCUUUCUGAGAAGAAGUGCUUCCUAAUAUCCAGCCUGAACCCCUUCCCUGGCACAACUUAAGGCUGCCAGCUCUUGUCCUGUCACUGUUACCUUGGAGAAGAGUCUGACCCCUGCCUCACUACAACCUCCUCAAUAAGAAGUGCAGUCAAUUAAAGUGGUUCCGUGUCUUCCGUAUCACCAGGCUUGGCAAGAUACUGAAGCUUUACUGGAAACUCCACUGAAGCCAACUUUAAGUUCUCCAUCUCCUGAAUGUACGACUGCAAAUACUGCAGCUGCUGAAGCAGGCAGAACAGAGCUACAGCUCCCUGUCUGUCUCCUGGCUCUGCAUCUCUGCAUGGUAAAAAUAGCCAUAUUUUACAUCCAUGGGAAGCAUUAAGGAUAUUAUCUCUUUGGAGUUCCUUUCAGCCAAGAGUAAGGAGAUAUGAAGAAUUUGGCUGCUGUCCUCUGCUCCUGCACCACCCAGCUACCCAUCAUGGCUAAUAAUGCAACUCAGUGGCUGCUGUAUUUUUCAUGGCCCUUCUGACAGUAUGAGAUUAGUGGGAGCACAGCUGCUUCAGUACCAGGGCAUGUAUCUGUCUUUCCCUGGCAGAUCCCUUGGUGGUGUGUGGCUGUCAUGUUAAAGAGGGAAGGUAAAACUUAUUUACAGGCAGUCUGAGCGGCAUGUUAUUCAAGGCCAGGUUGCUGGCCCAUCUGAUAUUAUUUAAGGGGUUAGAUAUUGCCAGUAAAUGAAAAUAAAUGCUAUUAGUGUCCCUUCUAGUCAGUGGAAUUAGCUGCUCUUCAGCUGAUGUUUGGUUUUACAGCACAAGAUACGCUGGCUCUCAAGGGUCAUGGCUUUUAAAUGCUGGGAAGGCACUAAUCUUGGGAUCAUGGUGAUGCAAACAGAAAUAGGAGGCUAGCAAAACCAGCAGAGGGCUUCCCUUCUGUUGCUUACCCUCAGUCUCUCUGUUAAAUGGACCUGCAGAAAUCAGGGGCAAAGAGACAGAGUGCAGCACUGUUAACUCUAAGGGUUCCUCUUUUACCACAGUAGAGCCUUGGAAGGGCCCUUCUUUCCUCCUCAUCUCAGCCAGUCUCAGAAGGAUUGUCUUUGCUAAAAAGAAAUUACAUUCUGUUGCCUGUCUGUCUUGAGCCAUUUGCUUUUGGCAUUAACUGUCAAGCCCUGAAUCACUCUCUGGGGAUGCGUGCUGGAAAGCUGGUGGGAACUGAUUGCAUAUCAGCAGCUGAGAUGCAAUACUUGGCUUUGCUCUUCUUGGGAAUCACAGUGUGCAGACCUGGACAGCAUCACGCACAUAGCGUAAGAGACCAAGCACUUCUCGUGGGCUGAGUGCAUCAAAUCCUGAGACAAACGCUUACUGCAAACACUGGGGCAUGAGGGAGGUGGGAGGGAGAGAGAUCAACUCCUAAAGCUUUGGCUUCUUGCUCAGAGCAGGGAAAGGAAUAUAAAAAGAAUGAAUGUAAUUUGUUUUCCUUUGUUGAUCAGAGCUGAAAUUAGCUAUGGGGUAUUGAACAUUGAAGUGGAAGAGGGAGGUGGAAAACUAGAAGAGCAACUGCUUGAAAAUUGCACCAAAGGCCUCUUCCCAAAGAGAAAUAUGCAGGACUUCUUUGGUUUAAGGUCACUCAUCAGCAAGACCCCCAGCUGGGAUGAAGAAACGAGAGGCCAAGGCUUCUGGCAUCCUGCUGCAAUGUGACGUAAAGAGGAGAUGCCACAAGCAGGAAAUCCUCGUCUCAGAGGAAGGAGCUGGUUUUACUGAGGCAGGUGCCCCUAGGAGCUUGAAGGGCUACUGGAAGCAAGUGAAGGCUGCCCUGCCUCAAGGAGAUGAAGGCUCAUGGUGAAGUGUGAUGUUCUAUGGUCUGGAAGCAGUCGGUAAGAUCUUCACCUCCUCUAUCAGCACUUUGGAGACAUGGCUGAAGGAUUGGACAAUACCUACUAGGGAGGUAACAUCUCCAGUGGAAAAGAGGACAGGGCUUUAAAACACCUACAGCUGGCUUCCACACCCCCCUGACCUGCAUUUCAGGUCGGCACCACCAAGAUGUCUGUGUGCCUUGGCUGAUGAGGAUAACUACACGCAAGGCAAGCUAUCUGAAUCUGACAGCAAAGACCACGUUUCCCCUUAAUGCACCGUGCUGUGGGAAGUGUUUACUGCUGCUGCUCUUACAGCGCAGAAAACCAGAGCAGCUGGGAUGCAGCAAGCUCACAAUGAGGAAAAGCAGAAAGAAGAAUGACCCCGCGCCACUGUUACAAGCAGCUUCCUGAAAGCAGCUUGCGGCCAGGAAAACUGCUGGAUGAAAUCCCUCAGAGGAGGAGAAAGUCCAGGGGGUCGAUGACUCCACCACCUCCCUGCGACAGAGGGACAAAAGGAGAAGAAUGGACAAAUGCCUACCCAACACCUGCGCUCCAGAAGGCAGCUCAGGAAGAGGACGGAAAAUAGGACAAACCUUGUGCAAGAACACCUGUAUUAGGAUUGAGUUUGCAAGUAAAGUAAAAUAGCAAACGCAGAGCUUA